rnacentral:rRNA from 1 species
GACGGAGGAUGCAAGCGUUAUCCGGAAUGAUUGGGCGUAAAGCGUCCGCAGGUGGCAGUUCAAGUCUGCUGUCAAAGACCGGGGCUUAACUUCGGAAAGGCAGUGGAAACUGAACAGCUAGAGUAUGGUAGGGGCAGAGGGAAUUCCUGGUGUAGCGGUGAAAUGCGUAGAUAUCAGGAGGAACACCGAUUGCGAAGGCAGCUCGCUGGGACGUAACUGACGCUGAGACGCGAAAGCGUGGGGAGCAAACAGG